AUGUUCAGUAAGAUGCCUCCCAGCAGAUUCAGAAAACAUAAAUGGGUUUCUAAAGCAGUGGAAACCUCCUUAAAGAUAUGGUUAACAGCAGCAGCAGAAGCAGCAACCACACCAUUUUUAUAGGUCUUACCUGUGCACCUGUGGCUCAGUGCUCAAGACUGCCUAAAUAUGACUUACUGAGUCCUAUUGCAUCUCUAUGAUACAUGCGGUCUCACUCAGUUUCACUCAUAUUGAAACAGAGGUACAGAGUUUAAAUCCAUGGCUGGGUAUCACAUAGGGAUACGUGGCAGCAACGGGCUUCAUGUGCUGGGCUCACUCCAGACCCGUAAGUUUUUCUCUUUCUCUGAUUUUGAUUAAUAGGCUCCAAAGCAGUGUCAGAGCAAUUUAUGGAGCUGUCAUCAGGAAAUAGAGGGUAGGUUUGUGAAAGCAUUUUGAGGAACUGCAAUAUUGCACAAGUAUAAAGAGGCACUAUUAUUAUCAUUGUUGGGUCAUUUAAUUUUUCAACUCUACCAGUGGAUUCUUAGUGCACAUCUCAUAGGCUAUCACUAGGGGGAGGCAGCAGAUAAUGCAUAUAAGCAAACUUAGCCUUAGAAGGGAAGUAUAUUUUUCUUCUAAAUGUUGCUCAGGGAUUUAAAAUUGAAAAGCAAAGGCUUGUAUUAGGGCCUGGCUGCUAUUCUCAUUCAGGUUUGAUCUUGCGCUUUUGUUGAAGUGUUUUCACAGGGGCAUCUUGGUCUCUCAUGAAUACUUUUGAAGACUGUGUUCCUCCACAAAAGAAUGGAAGAUACUAAAGGCUAAGCACUGACUUGCCCAUUGUUCUCUGGCUUCUUCCCUUGUUUCCUCUGUGAUCAUUUCUGUUUUCCUUGAGGUUCAGUUUACAUUUCCUUCUCUCUACUUCAUUUCUCUGCAGACCAUGUUUGUUGGUCAUGUGAGGCAGAGAUAGUAAGGCAUAUGCCUGACCCUUCCCAUCCAUUUAGCUGUGCUCUUCUGGGCUGGGCUAUGACAUAUGCACCAUACAUUGUAGAUGUUUUUUCCUUCUUGAGCAGUAGGACUGUGUCCCACUCUAGGGAGUCCCUGAACCAUUCUAGAUUUUCCAAAGGUUGGAGUUGGAGUUGACAUUCACCUAAAAGUUAGGUAUCAGCCUUAGUCAUAAAACAACUAAAUAGCAAAAUCCCAGGAUGUAUCAAGUGGAUAGUUUUUAGCAACAGUUGAUGCCUGCCACCCAGAGGGGUGUUGAUAAAGUGAGACAGGAAGUACCUAUAUACAAUGGCCUCCUAAGUAGACUCAGCAGGAUGAUGUUCUCUGCACACUCAAAAGCUAGGGAUACUUAAAACCCCCCUCUCGCCUCCUCCCACCACUGCAGGAACACAGAAGGCCUUUUGUAUACAGCACGCAGAUUUUGUUGGCUCUCAUUAAAUGAGUUCUACUUUCUGUAAUAGCAUAAAUGUGUGCCUUAGUGAAUGGAAUAGAAAUAGCAAAAGAGUAAAAAUGUAGCUACAGAAGAAUGUAUUUUAAAAUCUAAACUACACAGCACUGUGGACAGAGGCUGAGAAUUCUCUCUAGUUUGCCAGCCCUGAUUCUCUUGUUUCUUAGGGCAUUCAGGGGCACAGCCUGAAGAGAAGCCAUGAGAUGUCCUUUCUUCCUAAGUCUGUGGCACCUAUGACGUCCAUGCAUAUUGGGUGGGCUGUUUUUGCAAAUUGCCAGUUAGCUGGACUAGGAGUGGCUUAAAGUAGAGGAAAACUUAA
rnacentral:lncRNA from 1 species